rfam:Sus scrofa isolate TJ Tabasco breed Duroc chromosome 9, whole genome shotgun sequence.
GGAAGUGAAGGCGACCUGGCUGUGACCCUUGUCACCCCAGUGAUCCUCAGGGCUGGUUCCGCAGAUCUGGUGGACUGGGGGUUGUCCCCUUCUCUCUCAUGGUUUAAAGUGCAUCUCUCCUGAAGCCAUAGACUGGUUAGAAGAGCAUUACUUUCACUGAAGGAGGUGAACCUCUCUUUGGUCAGUGUUUCAAGAGUAGCUGCAGUCUUCGGCUAGAAUCUCCAAAUGUCUCAAGGUCUAUUUGUAGGAAAACAAGGUAAUCAAGCCACCAGAACUCCACACACAUCCAAAUGAAGUGCUGCAUCCAAAUGCAGUCUGAUUUCUU